rnacentral:rRNA from 1 species
UAGGGAAUCUUCCGCAAUGGGCGAAAGCCUGACGGAGCAACGCCGCGUGAGUGAUGAAGGUCUUCGGAUCGUAAAACUCUGUUAUUAGGGAAGAACAAAUGUGUAAGUAACUAUGCACGUCUUGACGGUACCUAAUCAGAAAGCCACGCCUAACUACGUGCCAGCAGCCGCGGUAAUACGUAGGUGGCAAGCGUUAUCCGGAAUUAUUGGGCGUAAAGCGCGCGUAGGCGGUUUUUUAAGUCUGAUGUGAAAGCCCACGGCUCAACCGUGGAGGGUCAUUGGAAACUGGAAAACUUGAGUGCAGAAGAGGAAAGUGGAAUUCCAUGUGUAGCGGUGAAAUGCGCAGAGGUAUGGAGGAACACCAGUGGCGAAGGCGACUUUCUGGUCUGUAACUGACGCUGAUGUGCGAAAGCGUGGGGAUCAAACAGG